AUAUUUUUUCCACCAUAGGCUGGUGAUGCGGCGUGAAAGGAACCUUUUAAAGAAGCCUUACAUAAAAGGCAUUCUCCACACGGAGCAAAGCCUUCAGGGGUUUCAGCUCUGCGGGUUUCCUUUUCUCAGGAAAUUGUGGAUGCGUAGACGGCCAGUGGUGGAAAAAAACAUGCAUACGGAUGCGCAAUUUGCACCCCGAACAGAACAGGAUGGUACACCCAUAUAUAUUUUUUCCUGGCAAAGACUCAGUGUUUUCAAAACACUUUCUUCCAAGCGCAGGAAUUCAUUCUUGGCCAUGUGUGGGGAUUGGUCCUGUAACACAAGGAGCGCACACGUGCAAGCGCUGGCUGGUUGAAAACACAACCACAUCCUCCACUGUUACUAUGUUUGGUCUGUCAGCUUUCAUACAUCAUCUCAAGCACAGAUAUGGCUCUCACACUCCAAGAGACUGUAAAUGUAUUCAUGCAUACUCUUCAAGCAAUACAUGGCCAGGUACUGCUUUACUUCAAGUGUUUUAGAGCAUGUUAAAAACCCUGAAAUGUGCUGCUGAGCAUGAAUUACUCUUACUAUAACAGGUUACAGCCAAGAGUUAAGACCACUAUACAAUACAGAGUAUGCAACAUCAUUAAACUAAACUAAAAACGUUUAGAGGUUGAAAUUAUCGUUAAUGAGAUUUGAUAUAUAAACAUUUUCAUGAUGCAUCAAUACUAAAAGAUUCUGCAUCAAUGGAGCAAAAUAACCGCUUUACAUUUUAAAUAGGCUUAAUAUACAUCUUGCGAGUACCGUUUUGUUGUAAUCAAUACUUGUAUAAAACUUGUAAUUCAAUA